rnacentral:tRNA from 1 species
UGGGAUAUAGCUCAGUUGGUAGAUCGUGCUUGCCUUGGCAUGCACAAGGCCCUGGGUCCAAUCCCCAGUACCACAC